rnacentral:rRNA from 1 species
UACGUAGGGUGCAGGCGUUAAUCGGAAUUACUGGGCGUAAAGCGUGCGCAGGCGGUUUGCUAAGACAGGUGUGAAAUCCCCGGGCUUAACCUGGGAACUGCGCUUGUUACUGGCAAGCUGGAGUGUGGCAGAGGGGGUGGAAUUCCACGGUGUAGCAGUGAAAUGCGUAGAGAUGUGGAGGAACACCGAUGGCGAAGGCAGCCCCUGGGCUAACACUGACGCCUCGAUGCACGAAAGCGUAGGGGAGCGAAACAGGAUGAUGAGUACCCGACCGAAGUCA